rnacentral:rRNA from 1 species
CAGUAGCCACGGUAAUACGUAGGGUGCGAGCGUUAAUCGGAAUUACUGGGCGUAAAGCGUGCGCAGGCGGUUCGUUAAGACAGAUGUGAAAUCCCCGGGCUUAACCUGGGAACUGCAUUUGUGACUGGCGAGCUAGAGUAUGGCAGAGGGGGGUAGAAUUCCACGUGUAGCAGUGAAAUGCGUAGAGAUGUGGAGGAAUACCGAUGGCGAAGGCAGCCCCCUGGGCCAAUACUGACGCUCAUGCACGAAAGCGUGGGGAGCAAACAGGAUUAGAUACCCCCGUAGUCCCUGUCUCUUAUAC